rnacentral:rRNA from 1 species
CGUAGGGUGCGAGCGUUGUCCGGAAUUAUUGGGCGUAAAGAGCUUGUAGGCGGUUUGUCGCGUCUGCUGUGAAAAUCCGGGGCUCAACCCCGGACUUGCAGUGGGUACGGGCAGACUAGAGUGUGGUAGGGGAGACUGGAAUUCCUGGUGUAGCGGUGAAAUGCGCAGAUAUCAGGAGGAACACCGGCGGCGAAGGCGGGUCUCUUGGCCUUACCUGACGCUGAGGAGCGAAAGCAUGGGUAGCCAACAGGAUUAGAUACCCCGGUAGUCCCU